rnacentral:rRNA from 1 species
CCUACGGGGGGCAGCAGUAGGGAAUCUUUCACAAUGGGCGAAAGCCUGAUGGAGCAACGCCGCGUGCAGGAUGAAGGCCUUCGGGUUGUAAACUGCUUUUAUAAGCGAGAAAUAUGAUGGUAACUUAUGAAUAAGGAUCGGCUAACUACGUGCCAGCAGCCGCAGUCAUACGUAGGAUCCGAGCAUUAUCCGGAGUGACUGGGUGUAAAGAGUUGCGUAGGUGGCAUAAUAAGUAGCUAGUGAAAUCUGGUGGCUCAACCAUUCAGACUAUUAGCUAAACUGUUAAGCUCGAGACCGUUAGGGGUAACUGGAAUUUCUAGUGUAGGAGUGAAAUCCGUAGAUAUUAGAAGGAACACCAAUAGCGUAGGCAGGUUGCUGGGACGGUUCUGACACUAAGGCACGAAAGCGUAGGGAGCAAACGGGAUUAGAUACCCGUGUAGUC